AAAAUGAACCUCAGACAGAAGAUGGUUCUCAUGAAUGAGAUUCUGAACAUGGUGUAAGGAUCAUCAUUGGUUGGAAUUCUACUGGAUUUCACUUUCACCUCAUCUUACUCUUUCUCAUCUUUGUUCUUUACAGAAGGAGAACUCAAGUCUAGUUCAGUGUCUUGAGGAUGAGGAGCGUGGGAGUCUAAAGCUAUAAAGCAGGUGAUGUCACUGCUGGAGCAUGAACUAGACCGAAUAAAUCAGAAGAAGAACUCAAGUCUAGUUCAGUGUCUUGAGGAUGAGGAGUGUGAAGCAGAUGAUGUCACUGCUUGAUCAUGAACUAGACCAAAGAAAUCAGUUACAUGUCAGAGCACAAUACCUUCAGUGAGAAGAAGGAUGUGAACUAUUGGACUGAUGAUAAAGUAUAUGAAGGUGGAUGAGGAGACACAACUGCAUCACAGAA